UACGAAGGGGGCUAGCGUUGCUCGGAAUCACUGGGCGUAAAGCGCACGUAGGCGGAUUGUUAAGUCAGGGGUGAAAUCCUGGAGCUCAACUCCAGAACUGCCUUUGAUACUGGCGAUCUCGAGUCCGGGAGAGGUGAGUGGAACUGCGAGUGUAGAGGUGAAAUUCGUAGAUAUUCGCAAGAACACCAGUGGCGAAGGCGGCUCUCUGGGACGGUACUGACGCUGAGACGCGAAAGCGUGGGGAGCAAACAGGG
rnacentral:rRNA from 1 species